AUGUCCAUCUCUGCCUCCUUGGUUCUCACAUCCUGAGCAACUUUUGUGCCACAUCUAGCCAAUUCCCUGUGGGAUCAUUGCCACAUGGUACUUCCUUCUUGCAGAUUGCUCUUGGGCCCUGAGAUGCUCCAGGUGUAGCUGGGUAUCAUGUGACCUAAUUAGGAAGCGGUCCUUUGGGAGGCAGGAGGGCCCUGAAGAGCAUGGUUUUAGCAUCUUACUUGAGCUCAAACAUUUGUUCCAUCAUGUAUCAACUGUGUGACUUUGGGUAGCAUGAUUCUCCAGGUGGGAAGUGAUGGAAGUGGUUGGGAGUGACUGCGAGCUCUUACCGUGAUCCCACUAUAGCAGUGCAGAGGCGCUUCUUGUUUCCUGCUUGUGUUUUGUCUCCUGAGUGUGAUAAGUGAAUCCUAGGACAAUUCGUUUACUUCUGAAUACUUAGAUAGGGUGGAAGUAAUGUGACUAAUAAAUUAUCCUCUCUUCCUCAAG
ensembl:lncRNA